GAUGAACGCUGGCGGCGUGCUUAAUACAUGCAAGUCGAGCGAACAGACGAGGAGCUUGCUCGUCUGACGUGAGGGGCGGAGGGGUGAGUAAAACGAGGAUAACCUACCUAUAGGACAGGGAUAACAUCGGGGAACCGGAACUAAUACCGGAUAAUAUAUUGAACCGGAGGGUUCAAUAGUGUAAGACGGUUUUGCGGUCAACUAUAGAUGGAGCCGGGCCGCGUUGGCUAGGUGGUAAGGUAACGGCUUACCAAGGCGACGAUGCGUAGCCGACCUGAGAGGGUGAUCCGCCACACUGGAACUGAGACACGGUCCAGACUCCUACGGGAGGCAGCAGUAGGGAAUCUUCCACAAUGGGCGAAAGCCUGACCCAGCCACGCCGCGUGUGUGAUGAAGGUCUUCGGAUCGUAAAGCUCUUUUAUUUGGGAAGAACGACUGUGUAUUUAACCAUGCCCGUCUUGACGGUACCUACUCAGAAAGCCCCGGCUAACUACGUG
rnacentral:rRNA from 1 species